UCGGCAUCAGCCUCCUUCUAUUCAUUGUUCAACGUCGCCCGAUUCUCAUCAUACAUUCAUGUUUCCUUCAAUCGGCUCCGAUUCCUAGAUCAAAAGCUAGUUCUGAAUGUCUCAACCGGAGGCAACUCUUCAAAGAGCUAUAAAAUGAGCCCAUAAGGUGUUGGGGCAAUGGCUGAACCAGUCCAGAUUUUGAAUCAUUGUGGCCCUCACCCGUCUACUGAUCUCCCGUUCUUUAUCUACACAAUUUUCUUCGACCUCACAAAGAUAAUUGUGAGAUUCACAACCUUUGACCCUGAGACAAAACCCAGAGCACCUGAUGUUCGCAUACAUAAGAACUUGCCGCUUGAGUAAUGCUGAGCCAUGUUCGCAUGCAUAAGAACUUACCGCUUGAGUAAUGCUGAUCCUUGCUCAUUUGUGUUUGUCUCUGCAUAUGUACAGAUGUUACAGGGAUUCAAUUGGAAAAUUGACUAUCAUGCCAUUAAAAAAAAUUAAAAACAUGGCUUACAUCGAGUUUCAGAUGUUGUCUUUCAUUACCUAUCUAUAAAAAUUGGCUUUUAUUUUA